GAACGCACAUUGCGCCCUUCGGUAUUCCGUUGGGCAUGCCUGUUCGAGCGUCAUUUAAUCAUUCAAGCUCUGCUUGGUGUUGGGUGUUUGUUCCGCCUCAGCGCGUGGACUCGCCUUAAAUUCAUUGGCAGCCGGUAUGUUGGCUUCGUGCGCAGCACAUUGCGUCGCGAUUCUGGCAGGCCUCCUCCCAUUAAGCUUCUUUUAAGUUUGACCUCGGAUCAGGUAGGGAUACCCGCUGAACUUA
rnacentral:misc_RNA from 1 species